GAAAGCACACACAAAAGUUCCUAAUUUCACCGUAAGUCACUGGAGGCAAACUUUAGAGAUUCAGUAAAUCUUUGUUGAUGUUGCUUUCUCCCCCUUUACAGAUUGCCUGUUCAUCUUUCCAUUCCUCAACGCUUUGUUAUUCUCGUCUUCCGCUUUUAUUCCUGCUUCACUUCUAGUUUCAAGAGACUCGGUUUGUGAGUCGUAUGCUUGCGUGCGUUGCAGUGGUGAGAAGAAAUGUGUGUGUGUGUGUGUGUGUGUGUGUGUGUUCUGGCUAGUGGACAGAAGACUUGUGUGUGGUGGGGUGGGGACAGUAUUUAGUGAAGGAAUGUGGUUGUGUGUGUGUGUGUGUGUGUGUGUGUGUGUGUGUGUGUGUUAGGGGGGUGGGAAUGGUGGUGGGUGACGGGGAGCGCGUCGUUGCAGUCUUAACAUUUUCUCUUGUUAUCCACGUCCUCUUUGUCAGCCUCCACCUUUUCUUGUCCCUGAGUUUUCUGCUUCCUUUUCUGCAUGAACUUACACAUAUCGUCGUCUCCUUUUACUUCUUCAUCCUUUUGCUUUUCAGUCGUGAUGGUCCUCGUCCAGCUCCUCGCCACCUCACCACACGCCACCACCUUCCCUGUUGAUGCUGCGUCAACUUUAUUGUCCUCGCCGUUGCAUUCCCACAUGCGUCGCUGUCAUGGCACCCUGGCACCCUACAGCCACAACUGCUGCUGCUGUCUUUUAUCCUGUAACAGGCGUGUGAGCGGUGUUGUGAUCGUCGCCUAGAGGUGUCCAUGUUCCGGGAGUCGCUGCCCUUCCAGUCCUCCUCCGCUGUCUGUCUGAGCAACCUGGGUGAAGAGCGGCGGACGCCGCGUUCCAUGUUAAUGUUUGCUGACCAGCCGUCCUCUCUUAUUUUCUCGGUCCUAGCGAGGUGAAGGAGGGACGCUUGCUUCUGCGGCAAACAGAAGCAAUCCACGAGGACGACAGGAAGGUGCGAACGUUUGAGGUGGAUGAAAAUAAUUAAUUAAUUGCUCAAUAUGUUGCUGACCAGCAGUCUUCAACGUUCGCACCGUGUCGUCCUCGUGGGUUGCCAUCUUAAACGUUUAACCUUCACCACUUUAUCAGAAGCCGCCUCCUUUACUAACUAGUAGGGACUGGAGAGGCAAAGAGGACGGGGCUGAUCAGCAAACGGAUGGAGAAACCAAGAGUAUGCCAUCUCGUGUCUCCAACCCAACGGAGUGGUUGUAAGCACCGAGCAGAAUCAGGGAGCCAAGACGCAAGGAUGGGGAUAGCCCGCGAAUGCCCGGCGAUGUCUUUAGUACGAAAACUCUGGGAGGGUGAAGAGGCACGUGGCAUUCAGCGGGUGAGAACUCGCAUGUUGCUGGAAGACAAGUAAGUGUUGCAACUAUGGACAUCUACCACCAGAGCGGUAGCCGGCCAUUACGAAUUACCCACACCAUUUUGAGAUGAAGAACCGGAUCUGCCAAACAACAACAACGAGAUGGCGCAGAAACGCUUGAAGGGACAGACGACGCCUCGCUAGGGAUUCGGACUUCAGACGACGAUAUGCAGGAGAGAGAGAACAAUUGCUGUUAAAGAGCGAUGCCAGCGUCUGAACGUGAAGGACCACGAGGAGUAACCUGGUGCCUGCCUCACCAUCCACUCAUGAACCCAAACAAACCUGAGAAAGUGAAGGCUUUGUUUGCGCAGCGAAGUACAACAACGUUUCCCUCAAAGACUGAGUGAUGCAGGUUCCUGACCUAAAUAGCAAACUGGUGGGUGCCCUUCUGCGUUUCCGAAGUGAACGGAUUGCCGCGAUGGCUGAUGUGAAGGCAAUGUUUCUCAUCAAGCUGGCGUGACGUCACCCCUCUUCACCGAGACUCCUUAAGAGAUUCCUUUGGUGGAAAGAUGGGAACCUAAGGAGGGUACGGCGCGCCUACCAAAUGACGGGUAUGUCUUUUCGGGUGUGUAUGGAGUCCCUCCUGUGCUGCUUACUCAUUGCAACGAACUUUGACCGACUGUGAGGAAGAAUAUGGCAUAGCUAGUAGUUACUGAACAUGGAGGGGCUUGUACGUAGACAACUUACUUCUUUCAGUACCCUCCACCGAAAAGGCAUCCAGAUUUACUCGCGAUCUUUGGCUCACAAAGAGAGGAUUUCUGCUAAGUGGGUUAGUAGUAACCAUAAGGAGACAUAGUACAGUACUGUGUCCUACAGAGAGAGACAGGAAUAAGAAUAGAUCUGAGUAAGGACGCACUGGCUACAAAACGGGAUCUGGAAAGGGAUCAGUCAAUCAACUAGCUGUGAGGGGAGUACUGAGGGUGAGCAGCUCCGUUCAUGACCCUCUUGGACUGGUCAGUCCUGUAAUGAUUAAAGCGAAGGCGAUGAUCAAUUAAGGCGAAGGCGAAGAUCUUUCAGGACGAGUGCAGCCGAUAAGGAAGGAUGGAUGACCCCCUCCUAAAUCACCACAGGUCCUAGUUGGUUGGCUUGGCUGGAGGAGUUACCAGGACUGACGGUCUUUCAAGUUCCCCGAUGCUACAGGCGGGAGGACAUGGGAGAUGUUUUAUCACUUACCAACUGCAUCAUUUCAGAUCAAACAGGCUGAGAUGGUGAUAUUAAGAGUUGUUCAAACCACAACGUGCAAAGAGGAGAUGAACAUCCUAAAGUCAAAGUCAAAGAAAAAAAAACUACAGAGGAAACAUUCGAUCUGUCGAGUGGAACCCCUUCAUGGGUGAGGGUGGAUCCAGCCGUCCUCCAUGUGGACGGCUGGACCACGCACCGUUGCCUGCUACAAGUCGGUAUCCCAUUUCCAUGCUCAUACGGAGAGAGAUCAUCAUAUCACAAAAUUGAUUCUACAAGAGUGCAUGAGGACUUUACUUGACAGUUCACGCAGGAUGGGAGCAUGUUACGUCACACUUACUGGAUUCCACAUACACCACCUGCCUGAGGACCGAGAGUAACCCCCAUGCUGGCACCAUUCUCGUCAGCUGGAGUGGAUUGCUUCAGACCGUUCUUGGUCAAAGUGGAAAGAAGCAGAGUGAGUUAGUGGGGAUGCCUCCACGUGCAUGACUACACACAUAAGAACAUAAGAAAUAAGGGAAGCUGCAAGAAGCGACCAGGCUUACACGUGGCAGUCCCUAUAUGAAAUAUACCUACCUAUUUUC